ensembl:lncRNA
AGUCCCGACAGUUGACUGCCCCCUCUAGAGCCUGGUUCUGUCAUAGGUUUCUUCCUUUAAAGGGAGUUUUUCCUAUCCACUGUCGCCUCGUGCUUGCUCAGAGGGGAUUGUUGGGGUUUUCUCUCCUCUCUCCCUUUACAUCCCACCCACCCCCACCUUUUCUUUUUUCUUAAUAAUUGAACAAUAAAAACAAUUGGCCGCUAAUUAAAUGUGUCAAAUCAAUGUCUUUAUUCAAGAAUACAAGAAAUGGGUAAUAGCUGCAUGUGUGUUUGUGUGUGUGCAUAAUAUGCAUACUUUACGUGUUGGAUCCAAAUCCCACAAGGAAUUAAAUAAAACAAGAAGACAAACAAAAACAAAUAUUUCUCUCCCUUCCCAGGUCAGGAAUCAGGAUGAGGAAGAAAUGAGGUCAGAUCAGUGCAGGUUUUUGCACUACUGACAUAAAGUUUCUGCUGAUUAAAAAAAGUAUGUCGAUAUUUCUGAAAUACAUUUGCAAACAAAUAACUUUGACAACUUGUGUUUUUUCAUAAAAGAAAAAUCAGAGAGCAGAGCUGGUAAAACAGCUUAGCUCCGCAGGUUACAGGAGAUCAGAUGCCAAAUACUUUUCAUGACAGUCUUCGUUAUUGCAUAAAUCUCCCCUUUUAUCAUUGAUCAGUAAAUCACUGCAUAUACAUUCAUCUAACCGUUAUAAUUUCAUGAGGAAAGAUUCUCAGAUGACUGAAUGGCGGUUUUAGUAAAUGUUGAACUUUAUUGUGAUUUCUAUUUUUAGAAUCAAUAGCACACAUUUUGAUUUAGUUUUGCAAGCUGCUGAUUUCACACAGAUCCACUGCCCAAACGUGCCUUUGAGUUUUUCAUCAUUUAACAAGAAUAGGCUCAGGCAAUCAUUGUGUAAUUAGGCUUUGGGAAGGUCUGGGGACAGGCAAUCAUUGUGUAAUUAGGCUUUGGGAAGGUCUGGGGACAGGUAUGAUGGUGGUGGUUUUAAAGCACUGUGGCACAACCGCUUGACUCAGGGAGAUGUUAAAGAUGCCUGCUAGGACAUCAGUCAGCUGGUCAGCACGGGCUCUGAGCACGCGUCCAGGUAUAUUGUCUGGUCCAGCAGCUUUGUGUGGGUUGACUUUAGUGAGAGUCCUUCUCACACUGGCCGUGGACAGGGACAGCACUUGGUUGUCUGGCAAGGGGGUGGCCCUCUAUAGUCCGUCUUGCGUCCCAUUUAAACAAGUGCGUGUUCACACUGCCCCUGGAUGUCCUGGCCUCUGAGGUUAAGGUGUACGGCUCCUGGUUGUCAACUGACCAAUUU